rnacentral:lncRNA from 10 species
UGAUGGGAGUGUCUGUUAGCAAGUGAACUCUUCCAUUUGUGCCUCUGAGGACAUUUUCCGUCUUCCAAGCCGGCACACAAACAUGUAGAUGUGAAUCACCUACUGCAGAAACAUGAGAGAGAAAGAGAGAGAGGAAGAGAUUUGGAGGCUUAUGGCAGAAGAAGAUUUUAAUUGGCACAGUCUACCUAGAGGCAACCGGCUGAGAGGAAGGAAUAAAAAGAGAGACACCAUGUGGAAAGAAGAGUCUGGAGAAUGCACAAGCCCUUGGAAGCUAACGUUCCUGGAAGCAACCUCAGUGUGCACUUGUUCCCUUUUGAGAAGCACUCCCUUAGGUGGACGGCCAGUGGUCCAUGUUACUUUUGGUUUGCAUUGACUCUGGUCUAGACAGCAGAGGGACAACCCAGAGUGAAACCUAGUUCUGUUUACCUAUUUCUCAAUCUUUAACACAUAGCAAACUGUUGACAACCCAGAGGCAUAAACAUCAGGAUGCUUACAAGCCUUAAGAAGAGAGAAUAAGGGGCUAAACAAGUAAUCGAUGCUUAGAAAACUUGUGAGUUAAAGAUGAUAUGAAGAUAAAUCCUUACCCUCUGACCAAUAGCACCAGCCUAAAAAUACAGUGCUUUUGUAUGAACUACAGAAAACUGCCCCUUUUGAUAAAAACAAAUAUAAAAAGAUCUCAAUUCUCAAUAAAGAAAUUAUAGAAAGGUGGGCAGAUGAAUUUCAAAAAAGUACUUAGGUAGAAGUGAAAGCAUGGGCUGGACUUCAGAGCACAGCCUGCACAACCGUGCUCAGCAUACUAGCCAUAGCAGGACUAGAACCCGGUUGGAAUUGUUCGUGUCUUUGUAACUGCCUGAACUACCCUCUGCUUGGCUAACUUUUAUCUUUGAAGACUCAGUUCAGGCACUACCUUAACUUACCAGAAUGGGUCAGCAUUCUUUUUUCCAAAAAAACCCUUGAAUGCUUCUGCCCUAAUACUAAUGUAAAACUAUGAUCUUGAAAUGACCUCUUUAUCUAUUUGUCUCUCUGACAUAUAAGCUUAUCAAAGACAAAUUAUAUCACAUUGAUCUUAAAGCCCCUAACACCUAGCUUAAUGCCUGCUAUGUAGUAGUAUCUUAAUACAUGUGGGAUUAAGUGUCCUCCCCUUGUAAAGCCAUGGCAUAUUUACAAUGGCAUUUGCUCCUCUAUUAAACACUUCUAAAGAGAAGAGAAAAGCCAGUGGUGCAGAGAUUUUAGUGACAUACAGACACACCAUUCCACUCAACAGAUUCAGUGAAGACUCCUUUUUUAAUUAGGCAAGGAUAAAUAGAGCAUUUUGAAUUAUUAAUGCAGACUGCCUCUCCUUUAACCUAAGCACAUAUUCAGAAGGUAGAUUCUUAAAUACAAAUUCCUCAAACCUUAAUUAAUUUUAAGAAUUUUAUGAAUUUUAUGAAUUAAUGUAAUGAAUAUUGCAAAUAUAUAUUAUUUUGCAAUAUUAUGAAAGGUACUAGCUAACUAGCUAACAUUUAUAUUUACAAUGUGCAUAUAGAGUUUCUGACUAUUUUAUUCUUUUUUUAUUAUACUUUAAGUUCUGGGAUACAUGUG